CCUACGGGUGGCAGCAGUGGGGAAUAUUGCACAAUGGGGGAAACCCUGAUGCAGCAACGCCGCGUGAGUGAGGAAGUAUCUCGGUAUGUAAAGCUCUGUCAGCAGGGAAGAAAAAGACGGUACCUGUCCAUGAAGCCCCGGCUAACUACGCGCCAGCAGCCGCGGUAAUAUGCAGGGGGCAAGCGUUAUCCGGAUUUACUGGGUGUAAAGGGAGCGUAGACGGUGAGGCAAGUCUGGAGUGAAAGGCGGGGGCUCAACCCCCGGACUGCUCUGGAAACUGGCGGGCUGGAGUGCAGGAGAGGUAAGUGGAAUUCCUAGUGUAGCGGUGAAAUGCGUAGAUAUUAGGAGGAACACCAGUGGCGAAGGCGGCUUACUGGACUGUAACUGACGUUGAGGCUCGAAAGCGUGGGGAGCAAACAGGAUUAGAUACCCGAGUAGUC
rnacentral:rRNA from 1 species